rnacentral:rRNA from 1 species
ACGGGGUGCAGCAGGCGCGAAACCUCUACAAUGCACGAAAGUGUGAUAGGGGAACUCCACGUGCCUACAUUUGUAGGCUUUUCUCAAGUUUAAAACGCUUGGGGAAUAAGGGCUGGGCAAGACCCGUGCCAGCCGCCGCGGUAACACGGGCAGCUCAAGCGGUGUUCGCGUAUAUUGGGCCUAAAGCGUACGUAGCCUGUCCAUCAAGUUUCUGGUGAAAUCCUGCGACUUAAUCGUGGGACGUGCCAGGAAAACUGUUGGACUUGGGAUCGGAAGAGGUCGGGGGUAUUCCUGGGGUAGGGGUAAAAUCCUGUGAUCCCAGGAGGACCAUCGGUGGCGAAGGCGCCCGACUGGAACGUGUCCGACGGUGAGGUACGAAAGCUAGGGGAGCGACCCGGAUUAGAUACCCGGUUAGUCCUAGCCGUAAAUGAUGUCUGUUUGGUAUUGCAUGGCCUACGAGGCUUUGCAGUGCCGUAGGGAAGCCGUUAAACAGACCGCCUGGGGAGUACGGCCGCAAGGCUGAAACUUAAAGGAAUUGGCGGGGGAGUACUACAAGAGGUGGAGGCUGCGGUUUAAUUGGAUACAACGCCGGACAACUCACCAGGGAAGACAGCACGAUGAUGGUCAGUCCAAAGGGCUUACUUGAGGCGCUGAGAGGUAGUGCAUGGCCACCGUCAGCUCGUGCAGUGAUGUGUCCUGUUAAGUCAGGCAACGAGCGAGACCCGUGCUUCCAGUUGCUAACCUUUUUCUACGGAAGGGG